CUCCUACGGGAGGCAGCAGUGAGGAAUAUUGGUCAAUGGGCGAGAGCCUGAACCAGCCAAGUAGCGUGCGGGAUGAAGGCCCUUGUGGUCGUAAACCGCUUUUAUCAGUGAAUAAAGUGCACCACGUGUGGUGUCAUUGCAGGUAGCUGAAGAAAAAGGACCGGCUAAUUCCGUGCCAGCAGCCGCGGUAAUACGGAAGGUCCGGGCGUUAUCCGGAAUUAUUGGGUUUAAAGGGAGCGCAGGCGGGAGUAUAAGUCAGCUGUUAAAUAUCAGGGCCCAACUCUGUUAUGCAGUUGAAACUAUAUUUCUUGAGUACGCACAGGGAUGGCGGAAUUCAGGGUGUAGCGGUGAAAUGCUUAGAUAUCCUGAAGAACUCCGAUCGCGAAGGCAGCCAUCCGGAGCGUAACUGACGCUGAGGCUCGAAGGUGCGGGUAUCGAACAGGAUUAGAUACCCUGGUAGUCCGCACGGUAAACGAUGAAUACUCGCAGUUCGGCCUUUAUGGUCGAGUUGUCCAGCGAAAGCGUUAAGUAUUCCACCUGGGGAGUACGCCGGCAACGGUGAAACUCAAAGGAAUUGACGGGGGCCCGCACAAGCGGAGGAACAUGUGGUUUAAUUCGAUGAUACGCGAGGAACCUUACCCGGGCUUGAACCAAGAGUGCGGAGUGCAGAGAUGCACUUUUUCUUCGGACACUUUUGGAGGUGCUGCAUGGUUGUCGUCAGCUCGUGCCGUGAGGUGUCGGCUUAAGUGCCAUAACGAGCGCAACCCUUUUCUACGUUUGCCAUCGGGUAAUGCCGGGAACUCCGUGGAUACUGCCGCCGCAAGGCGGAGGAAGGUGGGGAUGACGUCAAAUCAGCACGGCCCUUACGUCCGGGGCUACACACGUGUUACAAUGGUCGGAGCAGCAGGAAGCUACCUGGCGACAGGAUGCUGAUCCCAAAACCCGGCCUCAGUUCGGACUGGAGUCUGCAACCCGACUCCGUGAAGCCGGAUUCGCUAGUAAUCGCGCAUCAGCCAUGGCGCGGUGAAUACGUUCCCGGGCCUUGUACACACCGC
rnacentral:rRNA from 1 species